UACAGAGGUGGCAAGCGUUGUUCGGAAUUACUGGGCGUAAAGGGCGCGUAGGCGGUCUUCUAAGUCUUGUGUGAAAUCCCUCGGCUCAACUGAGGAACUGCACGGGAUACUGGAAGACUUGAGUUCGGGAGAGGGAAGCGGAAUUCCGGGUGUAGCGGUGAAAUGCGUAGAUAUCAGGAGGAAUACCGGUGGCGAAAGCGACUCUCUGGACGGCAACUGACGCUGAGGCACGAAAGCGUGGGGAGCAAACAGG
rnacentral:rRNA from 1 species